AAUAAAUAAGGCAAUUAAACAAUUAAUUGGUGAUUAUCUAGUUUUGACCUAAUCCAAUUUCAUGCAAGAUAAUUGACCAAAUAAUUCAAAUAAUUUAACAUUUAUCAAAUAAGGUAACAAUUAUCUAAUUAGAUGACAAAAAUCUUUUAUUUUGACAAGGAUAGUCAAGGAAUCAAUAAAGUUCGUAUUUUAUUAAUUUGAAACAAUUAUGGCAAUUAUCCUAAGUCAAAAUAGGCAGAAAUCCCAAAAAUUCGUCUGUCUGACAACCAGACUUGCCGAGUCACCAUAUGGACUCGCCGAGUUUGUCAGGCAGAUGGCCAAAAACUCGACUUUGCAAUCAAGAAUGAAACACUAAGCAUCAAUGAAAUAGAAACCAAUUAAGGCUCUGAUACCACUAAUGGGUUUUAUACAAAAGAACAUUCUAUGUGCUCAUGCAAACCUUAAUGAUUGGAUCUAGGUUUCUCUACUGUACAUGCAAUUCAUCCAAGACUCAAGAACCCUAAUCUAGCAUAUGCAUUUUGAAAUUAUCACAUAAGAGCAGAUCUAGAUGAUUACCUCUUCUUCAAUGGCUUGAAUCUUCUUGUCUUUGGAGCUUAGAGUCNUCUUGUCUUUGAGCUUAGAGUCACAAGUAUCACUCCUCUAAUGGCUUACAAACACCAGAAGCAAGAGAAUGACUUAUGAGAAGGAGAAGGAGCACCAAAAACGACCUAGGGUUCUUCCAAGGGAGUUCACCACGUUUUUGGGGCCAUAGGGGUCUUUAUAUAGUGAGGCUAUUAGGGUAUUCAGCUAGGAAACCCUAAUUUGACUGCUUAGGCCCU
rnacentral:lncRNA from 1 species